UUGGAGGGCAAGCUCUGGUGCCCGCAGCCGCGGUAAUUCCAGCUCCAAUAGCGUAUAUUAAAGUUGUUGCAGUUAAAAAGCUCGUAGUUGAAUUUCGGGGUUCUACCGUUGGUCGGGCAAUAGUCUGUACUGGCGUGUAGAAUUUCUACCUUCUGGGGAACUAUCAUGUUAUUUAUUUAGCGUGGUAGGAAACCAGGACCUUUACCUUGAAAAAAUUAGAGUGUUCAAAGCAGGCUUACGUCUGAAUACAUUAGCAUGGAAUAAUAAAAUAGGACGGUGGUCCUGUUUUGUUGGUUUCUGAAUCACCGUAAUGAUUAAUAGGGAUAGUUGGGGGCAUUAGUAUUCAAUUGUCAGAGGUGAAAUUCUUGGAUUUAUUGAAGACUAACUUCUGCGAAAGCAUUUGCCAAGGAUGUUUUCAUUAAUCAAGAACGAAAGUUAGGGGAUCGAAGACGAUCAGAUACCGUCGUAGUCUUAACCAUAAACUAUGCCGACUAGGGAUCGGACGAUGUUAAUUUUUCUUGACUCGUUCGGCACCUUACGGGAAAC
rnacentral:rRNA from 1 species